ACCCUCUGGUUCCCUUUCCCAUCAGAUCUGAACAUUGGUUUGGGUGGUUAUAAGGGACGGAAAAGGAACACUGAAAGUGGCCUCACAGUGCUUAUGGUCUGGUAUAGAGCUCAUGGGCUAGUUUCAAACAAGG